GGAGACAGAGAGAGAAAGAGAGAAGCUGGGGCAGAGUGAAGGUGCAUCCAGACAGUGAAAUGUGCGAGGCUAGGCCAGCCUCCUUGCAGAGCCAACAGGCCUCAUGAUACAUCAUCACCUCCCUCUCUCUGCACCUCCCUGCCCCUACCAAACCUCCUUGGGAAAAUGUCACCAUUACAUUGAUGCAUGGAAACAUUCUGUACUCCCAACUGCAAGCUAGAAGACAAGACUACUGCAA